rnacentral:rRNA from 1 species
CUUGCACGCUGGCGGCAGGCCUAACACAUGCAAGUCGAACGAAUGGCGGACGGGUGAGUACUGUCUGAGAAACUGCCUGAUGGAGGGGGAUAACUACUGGAACCGGUAGCUCAAACCGCACACCCUAGUAUGUGUCCCGAUGGGAUUAGCUAGUAGGUGGGGUAAAGGCUCACCUGGGCGAAGAUCCCUAGCUGGUCUGAGAGGAUGACCAGCCACACUGGAACUGAGAAACGGUCCAGACGCCUACGGGAGGCAGCAGUGGGGAAUAUUGCACAAUGGGCGCAAGCCUGAUGCAGCAAUGCCGCGUGUAUGAAGAAGGCCUUCGGGUUGUAAAGUACUUUCAGCGGGGAGGCGUUACCCGCAGAAGAAGCACCGGCUAACUCCGUGCCAGCCGCCGCGGUAAUUC